CCUACGGGAGGCAGCAGUGAGGAAUAUUGGUCAAUGGGCGCGAGCCUGAACCAGCCAAGUCGCGUGAGGGAAGACGGUCCUAUGGAUUGUAAACCUCUUUUGUCGGGGAGCAAAAGACGCCACGCGUGGCGUUCCGAGAGUACCCGAAGAAAAAGCAUCGGCUAACUCCGUGCCAGCAGCCGCGGUAAUACGGAGGAUGCGAGCGUUAUCCGGAUGUAUUGGGGUUAAAGGGGGCGCAGGCGGAAGAUCAAGUCAGCGGUAAAAUUGAGAGGCUCAACCUCUUCGAGCCGUUGAAACUGGUUUUCUUGAGUGAGCGAGAAGUAUGCGGAAUGCGUGGUGUAGCGGUGAAAUGCAUAGAUAUCACGCAGAACUCCGAUUGCGAAGGCAGCAUACCGGCGCUCAACUGACGCUCAUGCACGAAAGUGUGGGUAUCGAACAGGAUUAGAUACCCUUGUAGUC
rnacentral:rRNA from 1 species